GUUCUCACUUUGGCAGCACAUAUACUAAAUUUAGAAUGACACACAAAUGAUUGGCAUGGUCUCUGGGCACAGAUGAUAUGCAAAUUAAUGAUGAAUCCCAUGAGGCU